UCAAACUUGGUCAUUUAGAGGAAGUAAAAGUCGUAACAAGGUUUUCGUAGGUGAACCUGCGGAAGGAUCAUUAACGAGUGGCAACUCCCUUGGGAGUCCUCUCCACCCCGUGAGUACGGACCUGUUGCUUUGGCGGGCCGUGGCCCUGCCCCGCCGGCUGCGGCUGGCGCGCGCCCGCCAGAGGCUUUACACUCGAAUUUAUGCGAGUCUGAGCGAGAAUGAAAAUGCAAAAAACUUUCAACAACGGAUCUCUUGGUUCUGGCAUCGAUGAAGAACGCAGC
rnacentral:misc_RNA from 1 species